rnacentral:rRNA from 1 species
UACGGAGGGUGCGAGCGUUGUCCGGAAUCACUGGGCGUAAAGGGCGCGUAGGCGGCGCGGAUAGUCGGCGGUGAAAGCCCGGAGCUCAACUCCGGGUCGGCCGUCGAUACUUCCGGGCUUGAGCACUGUAGAGGCAGAUGGAAUUCCGGGUGUAGCGGUGGAAUGCGUAGAGAUCCGGAAGAACACCGGUGGCGAAGGCGGCCCGCUGGGGUGGAGCUGACGCUGAGGCGCGACAGCGUGGGGAGCAAACAGG